rnacentral:rRNA from 1 species
UUGGGGGAAGUGGCGAAAGGGGCAGUAAGGCGUGGGUAACCUACCCUGGGGACUGGGAUAGCCUUCCUAACGGAUGGGUAAUACCAGGCGAUCUGACGAGGUGGCAUCUCCUUGUCAGGAAAUGAAUUUCGCCUCGGGAGGGGCUCACGUGAUAUUAGCUAGUUGGUGAGGUAACGGCUCACCAAGGCAAAGAUGUCUAGCGGGUGUGAGAGCACGACCCGCGCCACUGGCACUGAGACACUGGCCAGACACCUACGGGUGGCUGCAGUCGAGGAUCUUCGGCAAUGGGCGCAAGCCUGACCGAGCGACGCCGCGUGUGCGAUGAAGGCCUUCGGGUUGUAAAGCACUGUCGAGGGGGAGGAAAGCCGUAAGGUCUGACCUAUCCCUGGAGGAAGCACGGGCUAAGUUCGUGCCAGCAGCCGCGGUAAGACGAACCGUGCGAACGUUGUUCGGAAUCACUGGGCUUAAAGGGCGCGUAGGCGGGUCGACAAGUCCGGGGUGAAAGCCCCCAGCUUAACUGGGGAAGUGCCUUGGAAACUGUCGGUCUAGAGCGAGGUAGGGGCACGUGGAACUUCGGGUGGAGCGGUGAAAUGCGUUGAUAUCCGA